rnacentral:tRNA from 1 species
CGAGGUGUGGCUCAGCUUGGUGGAGCACCUGGUUUGGGACCAGGGGGUCGCAGGUUCGAAUCCUGUCACCUCGA